rnacentral:rRNA from 1 species
AGAACGAACGCUGGCGGCAGGCUUAACACAUGCAAGUCGAACGCAUCUCUUCGGAGAUGAGUGGCAGACGGGUGAGUAACGCGUGGGAACGUACCCUUUGGUUCGGGAUAACCCGGGGAAACUCGGGCUAAUACCGGAUAAGCCGGAAACGGGAAAGGUUUACUGCCGAAGGAUCGGCCCGCGUCGGAUUAGCUAGUUGGUGUGGUAACGGCGCACCAAGGCGACGAUCCGUAGCUGGUCUGAGAGGAUGAUCAGCCACACUGGGACUGAGACACGGCCCAGACUCCUACGGGAGGCAGCAGUGGGGAAUAUUGGACAAUGGGCGCAAGCCUGAUCCAGCCAUGCCGCGUGAGUGAAGAAGGCCCUAGGGUUGUAAAGCUCUUUCAGCGGGACGAUAAUGACGGUACCCGCAGAAGAAAGCCCCGGCUAACUUCGUGCCAGCAGCCGC